rnacentral:rRNA from 1 species
UGGGGAAUAUUGCACAAUGGGCGCAAGCCUGAUGCAGCCAUGCCGCGUGUAUGAAGAAGGCCUUCGGGUUGUAAAGUACUUUCAGCGUGGAGGAAGGGAGUAAAGUUAAUACCUUUGCUCAUUGACGUUACCCGCAGAAGAAGCACCGGCUAACUCCGUGCCAGCAGCCGCGGUAAUACGGAGGGUGCAAGCGUUAAUCGGAAUUACUGGGCGUAAAGCGCACGCAGGCGGUUUGUUAAGACAGAUGUGAAAUCCCCGGGCUCAACCUGGGAACUGCAUCUGAUACUGGCAAGCUUGAGUCUCGUAGAGGGGGGUAGAAUUCCAGGUGUAGCGGUGAAAUGCGUAGAGAUCUGGAGGAAUACCGGUGGCGAAGGCGGCCCCCUGGACGAAGACUGACGCUCAGGUGCGAAAGCGUGGGGAGCAAACAGG